rnacentral:rRNA from 1 species
UGGGGAAUAUUGGACAAUGGGCGAAAGCCUGAUCCAGCCAUGCCGCGUGUGUGAAGAAGGUCUUCGGAUUGUAAAGCACUUUAAGUUGGGAGGAAGGGCAUUAACCUAAUACGUUAGUGUUUUGACGUUACCGACAGAAUAAGCACCGGCUAACUCUGUGCCAGCAGCCGCGGUAAUACAGAGGGUGCAAGCGUUAAUCGGAAUUACUGGGCGUAAAGCGCGCGUAGGUGGUUUGUUAAGUUGGAUGUGAAAUCCCCGGGCUCAACCUGGGAACUGCAUUCAAAACUGACUGACUAGAGUAUGGUAGAGGGUGGUGGAAUUUCCUGUGUAGCGGUGAAAUGCGUAGAUAUAGGAAGGAACACCUGUGGCGAAGGCGACCACCUGGACUAAUACUGACACUGAGGUGCGAAAGCGUGGGGAGCAAACA